rnacentral:misc_RNA from 1 species
UUUCCGUAGGUGAACCCGCGGAAGGAUCAUUAUUGUAUAACCGAGGUGCGAGGGCUGUCGCUGACCCGAAAGGUCGUGCACGCCCGAGUGCCCUCACACACAUCCAUCUCACCCCUAUAUGCACCACCGCGUGGGUCCCCCUUUGGCUUGUUCGGAGGGGGGCUUACGUCUUCACACAAACUUUGUAUGCAGUGUAGAAUGUAUUUUUUGUUUUUGCGAUCACGCAAUCAAUACAACUUUCAACAACGGAUCUCUUGGCUCUC